CUACGUGCCAGCAGCCGCGGUAAUACGUAGGUCCCGAGCGUUGUCCGGAUUUAUUGGGCGUAAAGCGAGCGCAGGCGGUUAGAUAAGUCUGAAGUUAAAGGCUGUGGCUUAACCAUAGUACGCUUUGGAAACUGUUUAACUUGAGUGCAAGAGGGGAGAGUGGAAUUCCAUGUGUAGCGGUGAAAUGCGUAGAUAUAUGGAGGAACACCGGUGGCGAAAGCGGCUCUCUGGCUUGUAACUGACGCUGAGGCUCGAAAGCGUGGGGAGCAAACAGGAUUAGAUACCCUGGUAGUCCACGCCGUAAACGAUGAGUGCUAGGUGUUAGACCCUUUCCGGGGUUUAGUGCCGCAGCUAACGCAUUAAGCACUCCGCCUGGGGAGUACGACCGCAAGGUUGAAACUCAAAGGAAUUGACGGGGGCCCGCACAAGCGGUGGAGUAUGUGGUUUAAUUCGAUGCAACGCGAAGAACCUUACCUACUCUUGACAUCCAGAGAACAUUC
rnacentral:rRNA from 1 species